GUUGUAUGGUUAAGUGACUAAGCGUACACGGUGGAUGCCUUGGCAGUCAGAGGCGAUGAAAGACGUAGUAACUUGCGAUAAGCCCAGAUUAGGUAGUAACAACCAUUUGAGUCUGGGAUUUCUGAAUGGGGAAACCCACUUACAUAAGUAAGUAUCAUUAACUGAAUACAUAGGUUAAUGAGGCGAACCGGGGGAACUGAAACAUCUAAGUACCCCGAGGAAAAGAAAUCAACCGAGAUUCCGAAAGUAGCGGCGAGCGAAAUUGGACUAGCCCUUAAGCUUUACACGCGUUAGACGAACGGUCUGGAAAGUCCGACGAUACAGGGUGAUAGUCCCGUAGUUGACGAUGUGUGUUCAGUGAAAUCGAGUAGGGCGGGACACGUGAUAUCCUGUCUGAAUAUGGGGGGACCAUCCUCCAAGGCUAAAUACUACUGACUGACCGAUAGUGAACCAGUACCGUGAGGGAAAGGCGAAAAGAACCCCUGUGAGGGGAGUGAAAUAGAACCUGAAACCGUGUACGUACAAGCAGUAGGAGCAGGCUUUGUCCUGUGACUGCGUACCUUUUGUAUAAUGGGUCAGCGACUUAUAUUCAGUGGCAAGGUUAACCAUCUAGGGGAGCCGUAGGGAAACCGAGUCUUAACUGGGCGUUCAGUCUCUGGAUAUAGACCCGAAACCAGGUGAUCUAGCCAUGGGCAGGUUGAAGGUUGAGUAACAUCAACUGGAGGACCGAACCGACUAAUGUUGAAAAAUUAGCGGAUGACUUGUGGCUAGGGGUGAAAGGCCAAUCAAACCUGGAGAUAGCUGGUUCUCCCCGAAAGCUAUUUAGGUAGCGCCUCGGACGAAUACUACUGGGGGUAGAGCACUGUUAAGGCUAGGGGGUCAUCCCGACUUACCAACCCUUUGCAAACUCCGAAUACCAGUAAGUACUAUCCGGGAGACACACGGCGGGUGCUAACGUCCGUCGUGGAGAGGGAAACAACCCAGACCGCCAGCUAAGGUCCCAAAUUACUACUAAGUGGGAAACGAUGUGGGAAGGCUCAGACAGCCAGGAUGUUGGCUUAGAAGCAGCCAUCAUUUAAAGAAAGCGUAAUAGCUCACUGGUCGAGUCGGCCUGCGCGGAAGAUGUAACGGGGCUAAGUAGUAAACCGAAGCUGCGGCAAUAUACUUUUGUAUAUUGGGUAGGGGAGCGUUCUGUAAGCGGUUGAAGGUGUGUGGUAACGCAUGCUGGACGUAUCAGAAGUGCGAAUGCUGACAUGAGUAACGAUAAAGGGGGUGAAAAACCUCCUCGCCGGAAGACCAAGGGUUCCUGUCCAACGUUAAUCGGGGCAGGGUAAGUCGACCCCUAAGGCGAGGCCGAAAGGCGUAGUCGAUGGGAAACGGGUUAAUAUUCCCGUACUUCUUACAAUUGCGAUGGGGGGACGGAGAAGGCUAGGUGGGCCUGGCGACGGUUGUCCAGGUUCAAGUGCGUAGGCUUGAGAGUUAGGUAAAUCCGACUCUCUUUAAGGCUGAGACACGACGUCGAGCACCUACGGGUGUGAAGUCAUUGAUGCCAUGCUUCCAGGAAAAGCCUCUAAGCUUCAGAUUGUAAGGAAUCGUACCCCAAACCGACACAGGUGGUCGGGUAGAGAAUACCAAGGCGCUUGAGAGAACUCGGGUGAAGGAACUAGGCAAAAUGGUACCGUAACUUCGGGAGAAGGUACGCUCUCGACGGUGAAGUCCCUCGCGGAUGGAGCUAUUGAGAGUCGCAGAUACCAGGUGGCUGCAACUGUUUAUUAAAAACACAGCACUGUGCAAAAUCGUAAGAUGACGUAUACGGUGUGACGCCUGCCCGGUGCCGGAAGGUUAAUUGAUGGGGUUAGACUUCGGUCGAAGCUCUUGAUCGAAGCCCCGGUAAACGGCGGCCGUAACUAUAACGGUCCUAAGGUAGCGAAAUUCCUUGUCGGGUAAGUUCCGACCUGCACGAAUGGCGUAAUGAUGGCCACGCUGUCUCCACCCGAGACUCAGUGAAAUUGAAAUCGCUGUGAAGAUGCAGUGUACCCGCGGCUAGACGGAAAGACCCCGUGAACCUUUACUACAGCUUGGCACUGAACAUUGACCCUACAUGUGUAGGAUAGGUGGGAGGCUUUGAAGCACGUACGCCAGUAUGUGUGGAGCCGUCCUUGAAAUACCACCCUUGUAGUGUUGAUGUUCUAACGUCGACCCCUAAUCGGGGUUGCGGACAGUGCCUGGUGGGUAGUUUGACUGGGGCGGUCUCCUCCCAAAGAGUAACGGAGGAGCACGAAGGUGGGCUAAUCACGGUUGGACAUCGUGAGGUUAGUGCAAUGGCAUAAGCCCGCUUGACUGCGAGAAUGACAAUUCGAGCAGGUGCGAAAGCAGGUCAUAGUGAUCCGGUGGUUCUGAAUGGAAGGGCCAUCGCUCAACGGAUAAAAGGUACUCCGGGGAUAACAGGCUGAUACCGCCCAAGAGUUCAUAUCGACGGCGGUGUUUGGCACCUCGAUGUCGGCUCAUCACAUCCUGGGGCUGAAGUCGGUCCCAAGGGUAUGGCUGUUCGCCAUUUAAAGUGGUACGCGAGCUGGGUUUAGAACGUCGUGAGACAGUUCGGUCCCUAUCUGCCGUGGGCGUUGGAAGAUUGAAGGGGGCUGCUCCUAGUACGAGAGGACCGGAGUGGACGAACCUCUGGUGUUCGGGUUGUGUCGCCAGACGCAUUGCCCGGUAGCUAAGUUCGGAAUCGAUAACCGCUGAAAGCAUCUAAGCGGGAAGCGAGCCCUGAGAUGAGUCUUCCCUGAUACUUUAAGUAUCCUAAAGGGUUGUCGGAGACUACGACGUUGAUAGGUCAGGUGUGUAAGUGCUGUGAGGCAUUGAGCUAACUGAUACUAAUUGCCCGUGAGGCUUAACCAUACAACACCCAAGGGGUUU
rnacentral:rRNA from 1 species